AGGUCAGAGAUGAAGCAGAAUGAGCAGAGUAAUGAUGGAGGAGAGAGAGAGAGACUGAUGGAGUAUCGCAAACAGAGCGAAGAGAAGAGAGAGAACGCACGCCUUUCACUUCAACUCGUACACAUGAUGGUUCUACAGAAGCUUGUGACGCCUGAAGUCUCAUCAUUGACCUGCUGAAACUCUACCCCUUCCAACCUGCCCAAUAAACCGCUCGAGACCUGCAGAUACCGAUCCUUUAAGAGAUUUGGACGGAUUGGACGCUCUCUCUGACAGCACCGGCAGCAUUCUGAGCAAACUGGAGUGGGACGCCAUCGAGAAACUUGUGGCAGAAGAGGAAGAGAACUAGAGAAGAACGUGUUUUCUGAAUUCUUCCUGCAUUCACUCCAGAUUUUGCUCCGCUUCAGCCAUUGACUGUGAAUGAUUGUGGUAUAAGUGUAUCAUUGGACUGUUGGAGUAAAUUGUGUGCUCAGAUUUUGUGCAAAAUAAAGGAUUGCUCACAGGUGUGCAGUGCAGUACCAGUUUGUUCCACAUUAUAUCAUAUUCUGGAUAUCUGAAAGACAGCUCCAUAGCAAUAACACGGUUUAAUGAACACUUUGUGCUUCAAAAUAUCUUUUUACUUCUCAUUUGUGUAGAAUUUGAUUUGUAGUUUAAUGUUUGAAAUGUUGAAUGUAUUUCUAAGAUUUGUUUUGUUGACAGUCCUUUAA